rnacentral:tRNA from 1 species
GCACUCUUAGCUUAGCUGGUAAAGCAUUUGAUUUUUAAUCAAACGAGCGUGGGUUCGACUCCCACAGAGUGUA